AACUCCGAGUCUGGAAUUCCCUGUGCAGGACAAAGGAGCAGGGACAGUUCAUUGAGUGAGGAAGACAACGGUGCCCCCUCUAGCCAUUCGGAGCAAGUUUGGCUGAAAUGCAAAUACCCAAACAGCAAGACGCAAUUGCUCGCUUAGAUAACCCGUGCUUAGAACAGGUCAGGUGGGUUCUGCAGGGCCGCGUUACGCAGGGCUUCCGCUGUCAAUCAGGACCGAGGGGACGGGGACUGGAGGCUCAUCCAAUCAGGGGCGCUGGCGCGGGGUCCUGCAAGCUGUCCAUCCGGGGAAGGGGAGGCCGCAUUCCCGCUCUCCUGACUCCCAGGCGUCUUGCACCGAGGGGAGGUCGGGAUCUCGGCUUUCCGGCCCCGAGAGGGACCAGGUGCCUCCGCCAUAGCUUCUGUCGCUCGGUCGCCUGCGAAGUGACUGGACUGUUCGAGGGAUCCGUGGAGAGGAGGCCAGGACACCUGGAAGCUGUGAAAUGAUGUUUCAGGAUUCAGUGGUCUUUGAGGAUGUAGAUGUGAAUUUCACCCAGGAUGAGUGGGCUUUGCUGGAUCCUUCCCAGAAGAAUCUCUACAGAGAUGUAAUGCAGGAGACGUUCAGGAACCUGGCUUCUGUAGGUAAAAAAUGGAAAGAUCAGAAAAUUGAAGAUGAGUACAAAAAUCCCAGGAGUAACCUAAGGUAAUUUGCAUUCACAAGAGAAAGCGGUGUCUCUCUAGACAAUCAUAGAAUGGAAGAAAAUGGGCCGGGUGCG